rnacentral:rRNA from 1 species
GAUGAACGCUGGCGGCGUGCCUAAUACAUGCAAGUCGAGCGAACAGACGAGGAGCUUGCUCCUCUGACGUUAGCGGCGGACGGGUGAGUAACACGUGGAUAACCUACCUAUAAGACUGGGAUAACUUCGGGAAACCGGAGCUAAUACCGGAUAAUAUAUUGAACCGCAUGGUUCAAUAGUGAAAGACGGUUUUGCUGUCACUUAUAGAUGGAUCCGCGCCGCAUUAGCUAGUUGGUAAGGUAACGGCUUACCAAGGCAACGAUGCGUAGCCGACCUGAGAGGGUGAUCGGCCACACUGGAACUGAGACACGGUCAAGACUCCUACGGGAGGCAGCAGUAGGGAAUCUUCCGCAAUGGGCGAAAGCUUGACGGAGCAACGCCGCGUGAGUGAUGAAGGUCUUCGGAUCGUAAAACUCUGUUAUUAGGGAAGAACAAAUGUGUAAUUAACUAUGCACGUCUUGACGGUACCUAAUCAGAAAGCCACGGCUAACUACGUG